CAGCCGCCGCGGUAACACGAAGGGUGCAAGCGUUACUCGGAAUUACUGGGCGUAAAGCGUGCGUAGGUGGUGGUUUAAGUCCGUUGUGAAAGCCCUGGGCUCAACCUGGGAAUUGCAGUGGAUACUGGGUCACUAGAGUGUGGUAGAGGAUAGUGGAAUUUCCGGUGUAGCAGUGAAAUGCGUAGAGAUCGGAAGGAACAUCUGUGGCGAAGGCGACUAUCUGGGCCAACACUGACACUGAGGCACGAAAGCGUGGGGAGCAAACAGGAUUAGAUACCCCUGUAGUCCCUGUCUCUUAUAC
rnacentral:rRNA from 1 species